rnacentral:rRNA from 1 species
UACGUAGGGUGCGAGCGUUAAUCGGAAUUACUGGGCGUAAAGUGUGCGCAGGCGGCCGAGCAAGUCGAGUGUGAAAGCCCUCGGCUUAACCGAGGAAGUGCAUUCGAAACUGACGGUCUUGAGUAUGGAAGAGGGUCGCGGAAUUCCCGGUGUAGAGGUGAAAUUCGUAGAUAUCGGGAGGAACACCAGUGGCGAAGGCGGCGACCUGGGCCAAUACUGACGCUGAGGUGCGAAAGCGUGGGGAGCAAACAGG